UGAAAUGCGAAACUUAAUGCGAUUUGCAUGAAUCUGUGAGUCAUCAAGUAUUUGAACGCACCUUGCACUCUGCUCUGCAGAGUAUGCCUGUUUGAGAAUCAGUUCUUUCUCAACCUCGGUCGAGGUUGGAUUUGUGGAUCGCUCCGAUCCGUAGAAUGCAGUAGGUCUAGUCAAAGGACAUUGUGUGCCAGAGCGUCACAAUUGAGCCUGCGGCAACACCUUUCCAUACUCUCUUUCUCUUGAUCUCAAAUCAGGCAAGGCUACCCGCUGAACUUAA
rnacentral:misc_RNA from 1 species